AUUAAAUAUUACGAAUUAGUUUUCAUCAAGCUGAAGACAACACUUGUGGCCACUAAGAUGUAUAACGGAAUAUUAUUAUUUGUUGCUAUUGUGUUAAUCUUUGCUCAAGUCUUCGCAAUGCCGGAAUUCACACAUGAAUUGGCAGGUAUUCCUACUAAGAUAAUCAACGAAACGAAAAACUUAUUUAAAGAUUUUGUAUGCUGAUUAUAUACACAAUGACAGCUACAUGAAAAUACGUCACCCCAACACCUAAAUGUUUUGCUUUGUCGAAGUUAAGUUUCAGAACCGUUUUGGGUUCAAACAUGCCUAGUAUUUUAUUUACAGUUAGGCAUUUAGUUUUCUCAACAACAUAAAAUAAUAAACAUUCAGAAUUCACAAAGUAAUGGUUUUUAUAAUUUAUUUCGUAUAAAUGUAUCAACUUAUCAUUCUGUUUUAUUUUACAAUUUU